rnacentral:ncRNA from 1 species
CCAAAUAUUGGGCAAACUUAUCGAAAGGUAAGGACGCAAAGCUAUGGGUCUAAGGAAUUUUUAUUCUAUGACCGCCAAGCUGCCGAU